AUGGCCACGGUGAGCACAGAUGCCACAGAUAGAGACACAUCCAGGUUUAAAAUCGUCCUCACCUUGGUGGCCUCCGGAAUAGAGUGCAUCAAUGGCUUCAUCAUGGCCAUCCAUGGAGCCGAGUGGGCCAGAGGCAAAAGACUCCCUGUCAGUGACUGCAUUCUGAUGAUGCUCAGCUUUUCCAGGCUCUUGCUGCAGAUCUGGAUGAUGCUGGAGAAUACUUACAGUCUACUGUUCUGGGUCACUUAUAACCAAAACACAGUGUUUACACUCUAUUUCAACCUCUGGCUUGCUGCCUGGCUCAAGAUCUUAUAUUGUCUUAGAAUUGCAAACUUUGCUCACCCUUUGUUCUUCUUGAUGAAGAGGAAAAUCACAGGGCUGAUGCCUUGGCUUCUGGGACUGUCACUGUUCAUCUUCUUAUGCUUCAGCUUUCCCUUCUCUACAAAUAUCUUCAACGUGUAUGUAAAUAAUUCCAUUCCCAUCCCCUGCUCCAACACCACGGAGAAGUACUUCUCUGAGACCAACCUGGUUCUUCUCUAUAACCUGGGGAUCUUCAUUCCUCUGAUCAUGUUCAUCCUUUCAGCCACCCUGCUGAUCAUCUCUCUCAAGAGACACACCCUCCACAUGGAGAGCAAUGCCCCUGGCUCCAGCAUGGAGGCUCACAUGGGGGCCAUCAAAGCUACCAGCUGCUUUCUCGUUCUCUACAUUUUCAAUGCAGUUGCUCUAUUUAUUUCCAUGUCCAACAUCUUCGACGUCAACAGUUCCUGGAAUAUUGUGUGCAAAAUCGUCACGGCUGCUUACCCGGCUGGCCACUCAGAGCUACUGAUCUUGGGGAACCCUGGGCUGAGAAGAGCCUGGAAGAGGUUUCAGCACCAUGUUCAUCUUCACCUGUAAGAGCAGACUCCAUGA